CAGUCGCCGCGGGAAUACGUAGGGUGCAAGCGUUAAUCGGAAUUACUGGGCGUAAAGCGUGCGCAGGCGGCUAUGCAAGACAGAUGUGAAAUCCCCGGGCUCAACCUGGGAACUGCAUUUGUGACUGCAUGGCUAGAGUACGGUAGAGGGGGAUGGAAUUCCGCGUGUAGCAGUGAAAUGCGUAGAUAUGCGGAGGAACACCGAUGGCGAAGGCAAUCCCCUGGACCUGUACUGACGCUCAUGCACGAAAGCGUGGGGAGCAAACAGGAUUAGAUACCCCGGUAGUCCCUGUCUCUUAUAC
rnacentral:rRNA from 1 species